rnacentral:misc_RNA from 1 species
GAUGAAGAACGUAGCGAAAUGCGAUAAGUAAUGUGAAUUGCAGAAUUCAGUGAAUCAUCGAAUCUUUGAACGCACAUUGCGCCCAUUAGUAUUCUAGUGGGCAUGUCUGUUCGAGCGUCAUUAAUUCCACUUAAGCCCUGCUUAGUGUUGGGAAUCUACUCUAGUGGUGCUACCCUGGAGCUACCCCUGAAAGGGGGCUGGCCCGGUAGCUACCCUGUAGUUCCUCAAAGAUAGUGCGCGGAGUUGCGUGGUCCUCUGAGCUUAGUAACUAUACACCUAGCUUUUGAGUGUCCCGCGGCGCCUGCCGUUUAAACCCCAUCUUUUAAUGGUUGACCUCGGAUCAGGUAGGAAUACCCGCUGAACUUAAGCAUAUCAAUAAGCGGAGGA